rnacentral:rRNA from 1 species
CCUACGGGUGGCUGCAGUGAGGAAUAGUGGUCAAUGGACGAGAGUCUGAACCAGCCAAGUAGCGUGAAGGAUGACUGCCCGAUGGGUUGUAAACUGCUUGUAUAGGGGAAUAAAAUGUGGCACGUGUGGGAUGUUGUAUGUACCAUAUGAAUAAGGAUCGGCUAACUCCGUGCCAGCAGCCGCGGUAAUACGGAGGAUCCGAGCGUUAUCCGGAUUUAUGGGGUUUACAGGGAGCGUAGGUGGCUUGUUAAGUCAGUUGGGAAAGUUUGCGGCUCAACCGUAAAAUUGCCGUUGAAACUGGCAUUCUUUAGUACAGUAGAGGUGGGCUGCCUUCGUGUUGUCGC